rnacentral:sRNA from 1 species
AGCCUCAAAGGAUCGAAGCUAGUGGCUAGAAGUGAACGCCAAGGAACGUUGCAGGACGCAGCAGCAUCAGGACGAUGACCAAGGAAGCGGUAACACAUGAAGGCGACGGGAAUAAACUCCCGUCGCUUUUUU